rnacentral:lncRNA from 1 species
CUCAGGAUUUGCUCCUGUCACAAUUUUUCAUAGAAAUUCUCAAGUGCAUAAAUGAACAUCCAAUAAUAUGAUAUCUUCUGAGUAUAUGUGUACACAUUGUGGAUCUACGCAAACUUUUUGCUUCAUGUCCAAACAGAAUUGAGCAAACAGGACCCCAAAUCCUCUGCAGAAACAGGAUCAGCAAGCGUCAGUUGGCUGAUUGGAGACACCUGGCCCCUGAGGCAAGCAGUCAAAGAAUAGUUUUGUUGCACAUCUGGCCUCUUGGUUGACUUGUCUAUGCCAUAACAACCUUUAAACUCCAGCUUAUCAGCAUAACUGAGAAGGACCCCACUACCACCAGUAGCCAUACAUCCUCCUGUAUGGCAGCCAAGAAAGAGAACCAAUUCUACAUAUUUUAAAUGUCUAAGUAUAUAACUACACUACCGCACCCCACCUCAAUGAAG